UACGGAGGGAGCUAGAGUUGUUCGGAAUUACUGGGCGUAAAGCGCACGUAGGCGGCUUUUUAAGUCAGAGGUGAAAUCCCGGGGCUCAACCCAGGAACUGCCUUUGAAACUGGAGAGCUAGAAUCUUGGAGAGGCGAGUGGAAUUCCGAGUGUAGAGGUGAAAUUCGUAGAUAUUCGGAAGAACACCAGUGGCGAAGGCGACUCGCUGGACAAGUAUUGCCGCUGAGGUGCGAAAGCGUGGGGAGCAAACAGG
rnacentral:rRNA from 1 species